GAUGAAGAACGUAGCGAAAUGCGAUAAGUAAUGUGAAUUGCAGAAUUCAGUGAAUCAUCGAAUCUUUGAACGCACAUUGCGCCCCUUGGUAUUCCGAGGGGCAUGCCUGUUCGAGCGUCAUUAUAACCCCUCAAGCUUAGCUUGGUGUUGGGGCCUGCUGUAAUAGAGCAGCCCUUAAAAUCAGUGGCGGUGCCAUUAGGCUCUAAGCGUAGUAAUUCUUCUCGCUAUAGGGUUCUGGUGGAUGCUUGCCAUUAACCUCUAAUUUUCUAUGGUUGACCUCGGAUCAGGUUGGGAUACCCGCUGAACUUAAGCAUAUCAAUAAGCGGAGGA
rnacentral:misc_RNA from 1 species